UACAGAGGUCUCAAGCGUUGUUCGGAUUCAUUGGGCGUAAAGGGUGCGUAGGCGGCGCGGUAAGUCGGGUGUGAAAUCUCGGAGCUUAACUUCGAAACUGCAUUCGAUACUGCCGUGCUUGAGGACUGGAGAGGAGACUGGAAUUUACGGUGUAGCGGUGAAAUGCGUAGAUAUCGUAAGGAAGACCAGUGGCGAAGGCGGGUCUCUGGACAGUUCCUGACGCUGAGGCACGGAAGGCCCAGGGGGAGCAAACGGG
rnacentral:rRNA from 1 species